AUUGAACGCUGGCGGCAGGCCUAACACAUGCAAGUCGAACGGUAGCACAGAGAGCUUGCUCUCGGGUGACGAGUGGCGGACGGGUGAGUAAUGUCUGGGAAACUGCCCGAUGGAGGGGGAUAACUACUGGAAACGGUAGCUAAUACCGCAUAACGUCUACGGACCAAAGUGGGGGACCUUCGGGCCUCACACCAUCGGAUGUGCCCAGAUGGGAUUAGCUAGUAGGUGGGGUAAUGGCUCACCUAGGCGACGAUCCCUAGCUGGUCUGAGAGGAUGACCAGCAACACUGGAACUGAGACACGGUCCAGACUCGUACGGGAGGCAGCAGUGGGGAAUAUUGCACAAUGGGCGCAAGCCUGAUGCAGCCAUGCCGCGUGUAUGAGGAAGGCCUUCGGGUUGUAAAGUACUUUCAGCGGGGAGGAAGGGUUGCUGGUUAAUAACCAGCGACAUUGACGUUACCCGCAGAAGAAGCACCGGCUAACUCCGUGCCAGCCGCCGCCGUAA
rnacentral:rRNA from 1 species